rnacentral:lncRNA from 1 species
UGUGUCAUGAAGGUCCUGUGAUGUCACAAGGAAAGCCGCCCAUGCAACUGCUGUCCCCGCCCACUCUGGGAGAGGGGCGGGGCUGGCUUUCACUUUCUAAACUUUAAAACUUUAUCACCUUAAUUGAGGUGACAGAGCCCUCAAGGGGACAGAGCCCAUGCUCAUAACCAGAAGGAGCCCUGGCAUUCCCUGGACGUGAAGCACUAUUUGUCCAUUCAGCAAGAAUUACUCAACCCCUAUCUGCCAACCCAGAGGCCCAGUGAUGAACAGGACCAAUCCAGUUCUUGCCCCCAUGAGGCCUUCAUUUUGAUGGAACAAUCAGGCUCAAGAACCUCUUAAGGAGUUGCUAAGAGGUUCCUGAAUGAGUGGGCCCAAUUAACUGCAGUCAAGUCUGCUGUGCUGAGGCCUGGCAAAUCAGGGCCUUUUAAGAAUUUGGUGAGAAACUUUUGGUAAAAAGAAUGAAGAUGUCCCUCUGGCAUGUAGACUGUUAGAACUUUUGAACCCAGAAGCUUGGAAAGGGAUCGGUUUGGGCUGCAGUGCCAUUUCCUGUGAACUACAGCAGCAAAUGAGUUGGAGCUAGAGGAGAUCAGUAAAACCUAUUCAUCUCCACCUACUCAUUUUUGUAAAACAUAAAUUUUGAACGUGACUUUGGGACUUUGAAAAUGCAGUCAGUCUCCACAAACUAAAGGCUUGAAAGUUGGUUCUUAAUGACAGAUUUAAUAAGUUAUUUAAAAACCCACUAGUCAUGUUCAAUCAGCAUCCAUCUUUCUCUUUCUUCAGAGGAAUUUACACUUGUUUUUCCUUUGCUUUAUUGAAUGUACACUAAAAUGAUCAUCGCCUCAAAUUUCUUGCAACCUGAAUAAGCUGUAACGAAUUCUGUUCUUCCUCUUCUCUAAGACAGUGCAUAACAUGCUGAAAGUCAGGCACUUUGAAAGCAGAGGAACCUGAGUUAAAAUGUAAGU